GCUACCUGCCGGCGAGUGGCGAACGGGUGAGUAAUACAUCGGAACGUGCCCUGUAGUGGGGGAUAACUAGUCGAAAGACUAGCUAAUACCGCAUACGACCUGAGGGUGAAAG
rnacentral:rRNA from 1 species